GGCAAUGUGAUCUAGUGGAGAGAACACUGGACUUUGACUCCAGAGACAUGGAUUCUAUUCCUGACUUUGCCA
rnacentral:tRNA from 1 species